rnacentral:rRNA from 1 species
GAUGAACGCUGGCGGCGUGCCUAAUACAUGCAAGUCGAGCGAACAGACGAGGAGCUUGCUCCUCUGACGUUAGCGGCGGACGGGUGAGUAACACGUGGAUAACCUACCUAUCAGACUGGGAUAACUUCGGGAAACCGGAGCUAAUACCGGAUAAUAUAUUGCACCGCAUGGUUCAAUAGUGAAAGACGGUUUUGCUGUAACUUCUAGAUGGAUCCGGGCCGUAUUAGCUAGUUGGUAAGGUAAUGGCUUACCAAGGCAACUAGGCGUGGACGACCGGAGAGGGGGGUCGGCGGCAUGGGAAGGUAGACACGGUCAAGAGGCCUAAGGGAGGCAGCAGAAGGGAAUGUGACGCAAUGGGCGAAAGUAUGACGGAGUGAGGGGGAGCGAGAGAUGAAGGCGUUCGGAGCGGAAAAAUCGGCUAUUAGGGAAGAACAGAUGUGUAAGGAAAUAUGCACGGAGUGACGGUAACUGAUCAGAAAGCAACGGCUAACUACGUG